AGCUGCCCCCCACAGGUAAAGUGAAAAAACAAUUUUGUUCUUGUGUUGUUAUAUCUAACUUCUUCCUCCUCUAGCAUUGCGCCUUUCUCCCCUUUUGUUCCACUGCCCCUUCACAUUCACUGGCGCUCCUUUUUCUUCCUCUAUCGCCAUCUUCUUCUCUCAAUGCGAGAUUGUGAUUGAGCGGUCUUUCAUCUCAGAUGCAAGGACGUUUUAUUCAUUUACACUAAGCGGAAUGCGUGUUCUAUUUAUUUCCGAAAAGAAGAAAUGGUAUAUGAUGAAUUCUAAAGGUUCUGAUUCCACCUUCAUGGAAGUCCUUCCUCCACCUCCUCCUCCGAGAGCAUUCUCAUUCAUCUCCUUCUUUGUCUCCGCAUCUUUGAGGGUGUUUGGGUUUUGGAAGAACCAUUGUAUCACUUGCCAGCAUUAAAACCACAUGAGACAUUGUUGGUCUAUCCUUAGCAUCUUCUUGAACACACAACAAACCAAUGUGUAUACACCUCUCAACUUCACUGCCUAUGAAGGAAUUUUCAAGCAUUGGAUCAAUCAUUUCCAAACAUUUUCCUGCGCUCCAUGUUCUCCAAGCCUGCAAGUAUGUGCAAU